rnacentral:rRNA from 1 species
CGGGACGGGUGAGUAAUGUCUGGGAAACUGCCUGAUGGAGGGGGGUAACUACUGGAAACGGUAGCUAAUACCGCAUAACGUCGCAAGACCAAAGAGGGGGACCUUCGGGCCUCUUGCCAUCGGAUGUGCCCAGAUGGGAUUAGCUAGUAGGUGGGGUAACGGCUCACCUAGGCGACGAUCCCUGCUGGUCUGAGAGGAUGACCAGCCACACUGGAACUGAGACACGGUCCAG